GACAGAGGGGGCAAGCGUUGCUCGGAAUUACUGGGCGUAAAGGGCGCGUAGGCGGGAUGGCAAGUCGGUCGUGAAAUCCCUCGGCUCAACCGAGGAACGUCGAUCGAUACUGCUGUUCUUGAGGAUUGCAGAGGAGACUGGAAUUCCCGGUGUAGCGGUGAAAUGUGUAGAGAUCGGGAGGAACGACCGGUGGCGAAGGCGGGUCUCUGGGCAGUAACUGGACGCUGAGGAGCGAAAGCGUGGGGAGCGAACAGG
rnacentral:rRNA from 1 species